AGACGCUGGCGGCGUGCCUAACACAUGCAAGUCGAACGCGAGUGCUUUUCGCAAGAAAGCAGACACUUGAGUGGCGAACGGGUGAGUAACACGUGAGUAACCCACCUUCCGUGGGGGAUAACUGUCCGAAAGGGCGGCUAAUACCCCGUAUGCUCCCUGACCGCCGGGUCAGUGAGGAAAGUGGGCUUCGUAAGAAGCUCAUGCCAGAAGAGAGGCCUCGCGCCCCAUCAGCUAGUUGGCGAGGUAACGGCUCACCAAGGCAAUGACGGGUAGCUGGUCUGAGAGGAUGGUCAGCCACACUGGGACUGAGACACGGCCCAGACUCCUACGGGAGGCAGCAGUGAGGAAUUUUGGGCAAUGGGCGAAAGCCUGACCCAGCGACGCCGCGUGGAGGAUGAAGGCCUUCGGGUCGUAAACUCCUGUUCUGGGGAAGAAAACGGGAUGCGUGAAUAAUUCAUCCCGCUGACGGUACCCCAGGAGAAAGCUCCGGCUAAUUACGUG
rnacentral:rRNA from 1 species